UUUUGUUCUGUGUAAAAACACUAAACUAGUCGGCGCCACAGUGAGGGUUUUGCUAAGGUUUUUUCGGAGAAUUUUAGCAUGUUGCUAUGCAGUUUCUAAGGUGUGUUGGUGGGUUAAGCGCCAAAAAAAUGCUCAACCCAAAGUUUGGAGAUGUAGCUCAGGUUCCUCAUUUCAGCGUCUAUGGGAUUUUCACAACAUGUUAUGUGUUGGCCACAAUAUCUUGGUAUGAACUUCGGAAGAAAAAAGACACAAGGAAAGUGCUGUUGUAAGGACAAUGUGGACCUGGCUGAUCCAGAUUCAGACCGUAUGGGCAGUGUGAACGCAGAUAAUCCAGAUCAAGACCUUGAAGUUAAAUCGCACACUUCUAAUGAAAGUGAAAUAGUUUCUCCUACAAAACAGCCCUGAAUCAUUCCUGACCCUUUUCGAGUGUCAACCCCAUCUUUCUAACAGAGGACACACUACCACUUUUACACACCUCUGCAAGUAUCAUUCUCAGUCCUCUUCCAUAUGUAACUUAACAACAUCUGUUUUCUGAAAGUACCGUCUGUGUGACAUUGAAUAAUUGUGGAUUCUGACAGAAGAAAGCAGUCAGAGUCUCUAAAGCAGAUUCACCCUCAUUGGCCUCCACGUUAUGUUUAGACACCCUCAAACCUCUGGGGUCGUGUGCCUAAUUUCUGAGGUCAUCUCGCCGCUUGCUCCUUCUAUUACUCAGAGGCCUUUGUAAUCACUGGACUUUGCAACACUCAAUUAGGGCUUAAUUGGAUUGGUGUGUGUUCCUGGUGAAACAGUCAGUCCCCUGUUCAACUGAGAAGACAGAGCUGAUUAUUACUGUUGACAAGUAUAACACACAGAGCUGGACGCAGCUGCUGCUUGUGUCAGGAUAAACACCCCUUACACACACCUUCGUUGUAGCAGCGCUGUCUCAUAUCUCAUUACACUCCGCUUUUGGAAUCUGUAAGAUGUUAAGUUGCUAAUCAUAAAACAUGAUUUUUAUUUUAAUUAAAAA